ACAGGGUGCUCACCCUGGCAGCAGUAAAAUGUGAAUGAUCCAGAGAAGAUUGGUAUAGCCCAUGUACAAGGAUGGUAUGCAAGGCUGUAAAGUGGUUCAUUUUUUC
ensembl:snRNA U6 U6 spliceosomal RNA